CCUACGGGCGGCAGCAGUGAGGAAUAUUGGUCAAUGGACGAGAGUCUGAACCAGCCAAGUAGCGUGAAGGAUGACUGCCCUAUGGGUUGUAAACUUCUUUUAUAUGGGAAUAAAAUGUUCCACGUGUGGGAUUUUGUAUGUACCAUAUGAAUAAGGAUCGGCUAACUCCGUGCCAGCAGCCGCGGUAAUACGGAGGAUCCGAGCGUUAUCCGGAUUUAUUGGGUUUAAAGGGAGCGUAGGUGGAUGGUUAAGUCAGUUGUGAAAGUUUGCGGCUCAACCGUAAAAUUGCAGUUGAAACUGGCAGUCUUGAGUACAGUAGAGGUGGGCGGAAUUCGUGGUGUAGCGGUGAAAUGCUUAGAUAGCACGAAGAACUCCGAUUGCGAAGGCAGUUCACUGGACUGCAACUGACACUGAGGCUCGAAAGUGUGGGUAUCAAACAGGAUUAGAUACCCCAGUAGUC
rnacentral:rRNA from 1 species